rnacentral:rRNA from 1 species
CCUACGGGCGGCAGCAGUGGGGAAUAUUGGGCAAUGGGCGCAAGCCUGACCCAGCAACGCCGCGUGAAGGAAGAAGGCUUUCGGGUUGUAAACUCCUUUUAAGAGGGAAGAGCAGAAGACGGUACCUCUUGAAUAAGCCACGGCUAACUACGUGCCAGCAGCCGCGGUCAUACGUAGGUGGCAAGCGUUGUCCGGAUUUACUGGGGGUAAAGGGCGUGCAGCCGGGAAGACAAGGCAGAUGUGAAAUGUCGGGGCUCAACCGCGGAACUGCAUUUGAAACUGUUUUUCUUGAGUACCGGAGAGGUAAGCGGAAUGCCUUGUGUAGCGGUGAAAUGCGUAGAUAUAAGGAAGAACACCAGUGGCGAAGGCGGAUGACUGGACGGCAACUGACGGUGAGGCGCGAAAGCGUGGGGAGCAAACAGGAUUAGAUACCCUUGUAGUC